AUUGAACGCUGGCGGCAUGCCUAACACAUGCAAGUCGAACGAGUAGCGGACGGGUGAGUAAUUUCUGGAAAACUGCCUGAUGGAGGGGGAUAACUACUGGAAACGGUAGCUAAUACCGCAUACCAUCGGAUGUGCCCAGAGGGGAUUAGCUAGUGGGGGGGGUAACGGCUCACCUAGGCGACGAUCCCUAGCUGGUCUGAGAGGAUGACCAGCCACACUGGAACUGAGACACGGCCCAGACUCCUACGGGAGGCAGCAGUGGGGAAUAUUGCACAAUGGGCGAAAGCCUGAUCCAGCAAUGCCGCGUGUAUGAAGAAGGCUUUCGGGUUGUAAAGUACUUUCAGCGGGGAGGCGUUACCCGAAGAAGAAGCACCGGCUAACUCCGUGCCAGCAGCCGCGGUAAUAC
rnacentral:rRNA from 1 species